UUAUCAACAUUGAUGAGAAGAGUAGCUAUAGGAUGGAUUUAAAGAGAGCCAGCGCUGGUGGAAGUCUGGUAUGAAGCUUAUAGUGAAGAACAUCUCUGAGUUUCUAACCGAAAUUGUUUAAAGUAGGCUUAGACGAGGCCAACACGUUAUUAGUUGGAAAGUAUUAUACGUACUUUGUAAGCUGGCUUGUUUUUAAGCAAUUUGGGUGGCACCGCGUAAGUUAACCUUUCGUCCCAUUA
rnacentral:ncRNA from 1 species